UACGGGAGGCAGCAGUGGGGAAUAUUGCACAAUGGGCGAAAGCCUGAUGCAGCUAUGCCGCGUGUAUGAAGAAGGCCUUAGGGUUGUAAAGUACUUUCAUCGGGGAGGAAAAAACAAAACUAAUAAUUUUAUUUCUUGACGUUACCCGAAAAAGAAGCACCGGCUAACUCCGUGCCAGCAGCCGCGGUAAUACGGAGGGUGCUAGCGUUAAUCAGAAUUACUGGGCGUAAAGAGCACGUAGGUGGUUUUUUUAAGUCAGAUGUGAAAUCCCUGGGCUUUAACCUGGAACUGCAUUUUGAAACUGAAAUACUAGAGUAUCGUAGAGGGAGGUAGAAUUCUAGGUGUAGCGGUGAAAUGCGUAGAUAUCUGGAGGAAUACCUGUGGCGAAAGCGGCCUCCUAAACGAAUACUGACACUGAGGGUGCGAAAGCGUGGGGAGCAAACAGGGAUUAGAUA
rnacentral:rRNA from 1 species